rnacentral:rRNA from 1 species
CCUACGGGAGGCAGCAGUAGGGAAUCUUUCACAAUGGGCGAAAGCCUGAUGGAGCAACGCCGCGUGCAGGAUGAAGGCCUUCGGGUUGUAAACUGCUUUUAUAAGCGAGAAAUAUGAUGGUAACUUAUGAAUAAGGAUCGGCUAACUACGUGCCAGCAGCCGCGGUCAUACGUAGGAUCCGAGCAUUAUCCGGAGUGACUGGGUGUAAAGAGUUGCGUAGGUGGCAUAAUAAGUAGCUAGUGAAAUCUGGUGGCUCAACCAUUCAGACUAUUAGCUAAACUGUUAAGCUCGAGACCGUUAGGGGUAACUGGAAUUUCUAGUGUAGGAGUGAAAUCCGUAGAUAUUAGAAGGAACACCAAUAGCGUAGGCAGGUUGCUGGACCGCGACUGACGUUGAGGCUCGAAAGCGUGGGGAGCGAACAGGAUUAGAUACCCCAGUAGUC